CAGAGGACCUGGGUUCAGCUUACAUAACAGAUUGUACCGGUCUAUUUCUCCAGCUCCAGUGGAUCAUCCUCCUCCUCUGCAAAGACCCACAGUUGACAAAGCCACAGAGAACAAGACACCACAGUCAUGCUCAGCAUCAAGUGGGAUAUCUAUUGCAGCUGACUUCUCCAAGGCUCAGUCAUCCUAGCAGAGGGAGCAGAAAGAGCCAAGGAUUCAAAGUUAUUCCCAACAUCUUCACAUAGAUAAUGAUAAGAAGGAUUUACUUCCCUGGAUCACCCAUCAAGCUCUUAAAAAAGGUAACUCUACACAGGUAGAUACAACAUUACCACCCAGGA